GACGAACGCUGGCGGCGUGCCUAAUACAUGCAAGUAGAACGCUGAAGCGAGGAGCUUGCUCUUCUUGGAUGAGUUGCGAACGGGUGAGUAACGCGUAGGUAACCUGCCUUGUAACGGGGGAUAACUAUUGGAAACGAUAGCUAAUACCGCAUAACAAUGGAUGACACAUGUCAUUUAUUUGAAAGGGGCAAUUGCUCCACUACAAGAUGGACCUGCGUUGUAUUAGCUAGUAGGUGAGGUAAUGGCUCACCUAGGCGACGAUACAUAGCCGACCUGAGAGGGUGAUCGGCCACACUGGGACUGAGACACGGCCCAGACUCCUACGGGAGGCAGCAGUAGGGAAUCUUCGGCAAUGGGGGCAACCCUGACCGAGCAACGCCGCGUGAGUGAAGAAGGUUUUCGGAUCGUAAAGCUCUGUUGUAAGUCAAGAACGGGUGUGAGAGUGGAAAGUUCACACUGUGACGGUAGCUUACCAGAAAGGGACGGCUAACUACGUG
rnacentral:rRNA from 1 species